GAUGAACGCUGGCGGCGUGCCUAAUACAUGCAAGUCGAGCGAACGGACGAGAAGCUUGCUUCUCUGGUGUUAGCGGCGGACGGGUGAGUAACACGUGGAUAACCUACCUAUAAGACUGGGAUAACUUCGGGAAACCGGAGCUAAUACCGGAUAAUAUUUUGAACCGCAUGGUUCAAAAGUGAAAGACGGUCUUGCUGUCACUUAUAGAUGGAUCCGCGCUGCAUUAGCUAGUUGGUAAGGUAACGGCUUACCAAGGCAACGAUGCAUAGCCGACCUGAGAGGGUGAUCGGCCACACUGGAACUGAGACACGGUCCAGACUCCUACGGGAGGCAGCAGUAGGGAAUCUUCCGCAAUGGGCGAAAGCCUGACGGAGCAACGCCGCGUGAGUGAUGAAGGUCUUCGGAUCGUAAAACUCUGUUAUAGGGAAGAACAUAUGUGUAAGUAACUGUGCACAUCUUGACGGUACCUAAUCAGAAAGCCACGGCUAACUACGUG
rnacentral:rRNA from 1 species